CGUCGAAGGUGGGACAAAUGAUUGGGGUGAAGUCGUAACAAGGUAGCCGUAUCGGAAGGUGCGGCUGGAUCACCUCCUUU
rnacentral:rRNA from 2 species